UAGGGAAUCUUCGGCAAUGGACGAAAGUCUGACCGAGCAACGCCGCGUGAGUGAAGAAGGUUUUCGGAUCGUAAAGCUCUGUUGUAAGAGAAGAACGAGUGUGAGAGUGGAAAGUUCACACUGUGACGGUAUCUUACCAGAAAGGGACGGCUAACUACGUGCCAGCAGCCGCGGUAAUACGUAGGUCCCGAGCGUUGUCCGGAUUUAUUGGGCGUAAAGCGAGCGCAGGCGGUUAGAUAAGUCUGAAGUUAAAGGCUGUGGCUUAACCAUAGUACGCUUUGGAAACUGUUUAACUUGAGUGCAAGAGGGGAGAGUGGAAUUCCAUGUGUAGCGGUGAAAUGCGUAGAUAUAUGGAGGAACACCGGUGGCGAAAGCGGCUCUCUGGUCUGUAACUGACGCUGAGGCUCGAAAGCGUGGGGAGCAAACAGGAUUAGAUACCCUGGUAGUCCACGCCGUAAACGAUGAGUGCUAGGUGUUGGGUCCUUUCCGGGACUCAGUGCCGAAGCUAACGCAUUAAGCACUCCGCCUGGGGAGUACGACCGCAAGGUUG
rnacentral:rRNA from 1 species